rnacentral:rRNA from 1 species
AUGACUCUCAUCAACUGGAACUUCCGUGGGAUUGGGCAAGCCCAGACAGUUCAAGAACUUGUGGGCCUUGUCCACACCCACAAGCCCAAGCUGGUGUUCUUAUCUGAGAAUCGGAAGAGCGAUGAGUACGUGAAUAAUCUGAGAUGGAGGUUAGGUCUCCGUCAUUGUAUCCUGCAUGCCGGCACCGGAAAGAGUGCGGGUAUUGCGUUGUUCUACUAUGAAAGUGUUGAAAUAAAAAAGAUCGUUGUUGGCCCAAGGUAUAUUGAUGUAUUGAUUUGCUUGAGCCCCAAUGGAGUGCAGGGGAGAGGUACCUUCAUUUAUGGUGAGCCGAAAGCACAUGAGAGACACCACAUGUGGGAACUUUUGAUGAGAAUUAGAUGCAAUGCCUCUGAACCAUAG